rnacentral:rRNA from 1 species
AUUGAACGCUGGCGGCAGGCCUAACACAUGCAAGUCGAACGAGUGGCGGACGGGUGAGUAAUGUCUGGGAAACUGCCCGGUGGAGGGGGAUAACUACCGGAAACGGUAGCUAAUAACGCAUACCAUCGGAUGUGCCCAGGUGGGAUGAGCUAGUAGGGGGGGUAACGGCCCACCAAGGUGACGAUCCCUAGCUGGUGGGAGAGGAUGACCAGCCACACUGGAACUGAGACACGGUCCAGACUCCUACGGGAGGCAGCAGUGGGGAAUAUUGGACAAUGGGCGAAAGCCUGAUGCAGCCAUGCCGCGUGUAUGAAGAAGGCCUUCGGGUUGUAAAGUACUUUCAGCGGGGAGGCGUUACCCGCAGAAGAAGCACCGGCUAACUCCGUGCCAGCAGCCGCGGUAAUAC